rnacentral:tRNA from 1 species
CCACUGUAGCUCAGCGGUCAUGCGCUCCGUCCAGGCGCGCAUCGCUAAGGAGCGACGGUUUCGUAAACCGUAGGCCGGGGGUUCGAUCCCCUCCAGUGGCUCCA